rnacentral:rRNA from 1 species
GUUAAUCGGAAUUACUGGGCGUAAAGCGUGCGCAGGCGGUUAUGUAAGACAGAUGUGAAAUCCCCGGGCUCAACCUGGGAACUGCAUUUGUGACUGCAUGGCUAGAGUACGGUAGAGGGGGAUGGAAUUCCGCGUGUAGCAGUGAAAUGCGUAGAUAUGCGGAGGAACACCGAUGGCGAAGGCAAUCCCCUGGACCUGUACUGACGCUCAUGCACGAAAGCGUGGGGAGCAAACAGGAUUA